CCUACGGGGGGCAGCAGUGGGGAAUAUUGCACAAUGGGCGCAAGCCUGAUGCAGCGACGCCGCGUGAGGGAUGACGGCCUUCGGGUUGUAAACCUCUUUCAAUAGGGACGAAGCGCAAGUGACGGUACCUAUAGAAGAAGGACCGGCCAACUACGUGCCAGCAGCCGCGGUAAUACGUAGGGUCCGAGCGUUGUCCGGAAUUACUGGGCGUAAAGAGCUCGUAGGUGGUUUGUCGCGUUGUUCGUGAACACUCACAGCUUAACUGUGGGCGUGCG
rnacentral:rRNA from 1 species